GAUGAACGCUGGCGGCGUGCCUAAUACAUGCAAGUCGAGCGAACAGACGAGGAGCUUGCUCCUCUGACGUUAGCGGCGGACGGGUGAGUAACACGUGGAUAACCUACCUAUAAGACUGGGAUAACUUCGGGAAACCGGAGCUAAUACCGGAUAAUAUAUUGAACCGCAUGGUUCAAUAGUGAAAGACGGUUUUGCUGUCACUUAUAGAUGGAUCCGCGCCGCAUUAGCUAGUUGGUAAGGUAACGGCUUACCAAGGCAACGAUGCGUAGCCGACCUGAGAGGGGGAGCGGCCACACUGGAACUGAGACACGGUCCAGACUCCGACGGGAGGCAGCAGGAGGGAAUCUUCCGCAAUGGGCGAAAGCCUGACGGAGCAACGCCGCGUGAGUGAUGAAGGUCUUCGGAUCGUAAAACUCUGUUAUGAGGGAAGAACAAAUGUGUAAGUAACUAUGCACGUCUGGACGGUACCUAAUCAGAAAGCCACGGCUAACUACGU
rnacentral:rRNA from 1 species